UUGAGUACAAUUACAUGAACGAAUCAGCAACUAUCUGUUUGUAUUAUGACUUUUAAUAAAUUAUUUCACUUCCUCUUGCCAACUGAUAGAUGUGUGUGCAGGAGAGCAGUAUUAGUUGGUGAGAGAUCAAUAAUGACUGGCCCACUGUCAGGUGUAAGAGUUUUAGAUAUGACAAGGAUUCUUGCAGGUCCUUUUACAACAAUGCUCCUUGGGGAUUUAGGAGCAGAAAUAAUAAAAAUUGAAAAACCAGUCUCUGGAGAUGACACAAGAUCAUGGGCUCCCCCAUUUUGUGAGAAUGAAAGCACGUAUUUCCUCUCUAUAAAUAGAAACAAGAAGAGCAUUGCUGUAAACAUCAAGAAUCCCAAAGGUACAGAAAUUGUUAGAAAGCUUGCUUCGAAGUGCGACGUUCUGGUAGAAAACUACUUACCUGGAAAACUGGACAAAGUGGGUUUAGGAUACGAUCAGCUGAGGGCAUCAAUACCAUCCUUGAUAUAUUGUUCAAUAACAGGAUUUGGUCCUGGGGGACCAUAUGAUCAGAGGCCAGGAUAUGAUGUCAUGGUCUCGGGUAUUGGGGGACUGAUGCACAUAACAGGCCCUGAGGACAGUGAUCCUUGUAAGGUUGGCAUUGCAGUAACAGACAUAACUACAGGGUUGUAUGCACAUGGAGCCAUUAUGGCUGCACUUCUACAGAGACAAACAACAGGAUUGGGACAGAAAAUAGAUUGCUCCUUGCUGGCAUCACAGAUAGCCAUGCUUAGCCACGUUGGAACAAGUUAUCUCAAUGCUGGGUUUGAGACUGGACGCUAUGGAACAGCUCACCACAGUAUUGUUCCAUACCAGGCUUUCAAAACCUGUGAUGGACACUUCUUGGUAGGAGCUGGAAAUGAUGGAUUGUUUAGAAAACUUUGCAAAUUAUUAGGUUUAGAUAACUUGGCUGAUGACCCAUCAUAUGCUACAAAUGCAGCCCGAGUCAAAAAUCGUCACAAAUUGCUUCCUAUACUAAAAGAAUGUUUUCAGCAAAGAGGAACAAAGGGAUGGGCCAAGGCGUUUGAAGGGUCCGGCAUUCCUUGCGGACCUAUUAAUAAUAUAAAGGCGGUGUUUGAAGAUCCGCAGGUACAGUAACGAAACGGUGAAAUACAAAAGUAUGGUUCAAGAGAUGGAACAUCCCACAGCUGGAAAGAUUCGAGUGCCAGGACCCGCCGUGGAGU
rnacentral:misc_RNA from 1 species